AUUGCUAGCGUACGCCUAGUCAUUUACUACUCGAGUUGCGAGCUCUGUUUCUACAAAGACUUUGAUCGAGUUAAAAUAGUUUCACUAAUCCUGUCGUACCUGGAGCGCGAUUUUGAAAGUAUAUAGUACGAUCACUGAGUAGAUAACACCCCUGUUAUCGGUUUGAAAUUUAAUUAAUAAAUUGCCCCACGUUUUCAACUUUCCGGAGUUAUAACUGACAGUGAAUCGAACGCUAUCAAUCAGAGUACUAGGAGUAGAGGGUGUACGAAAAUCUUACCAAGUCCACUAUGUACGGAGCCACGGAAUGUGCAAUUAUGCCGAAAAUGUGGAUCAACGAAACACCUUGAGCUCGUACAGGGGUUGGUAAUAAUUCAGCGGUGUGCUGUAAGCCAACGUUGGCGGCCAUGUUUAAACUAAAUCUUGCAAGGACGGCGACAACCAACGCUGCAUAGCCUGCGGAAUUGUUUUCAAAGCGGUCAAGUAUCAACGUCAACAGAAUUGCAGCCGGUAACUCUGUUGCACUCGCCAACGAGAAUGAAACGAAGACCGAACCGUGGAGAAGUUUCAGUGAAUAAACGUGGCCAUCGAACGCUAGGAUAACUAAAGUCCUGGGAAAUUUCGAGGGUGAGACAAAUGGUCUAGAAUUAGAGACAAUGGAGCUCAGUUUCAAAUUAAACCUACCAGAAUAUUAUCAACAAAACAAUCAUUUUGGCGAGUCUCGGCGUUUUGAAUAAGUCGAUCAAUGUAGCCGACUCGGUUUGUACUGUCGCGAGGCGGCUGCUUUCCUGGCAACAAAUAAAUUUCACGAUUGUAUACGAAUACCGUAUUCUACGAUGCGUUUGUCCAGAGAAUCUAUUUCUAGAUAAGUUUUAUUCGAUACUAACAGCAAAGUUUUCGUAGACUUUGGGAUCUUGUACUUUCUUAUUGACUUCCCCGACUCGCUUAAGAAUCCCAACCACCUCGUUGGUCUUUCCCUUGGACAUGUACCACCUGUUGGAAGUUUGAUUUCGAUAAUUGGUGCCUAUAAUUGUUCGAUUUUUUCCUAUUUCGAUUUUUUUUCUUUUUUUUUUUUGUAUGGGGACAACAUGAAAAGAUGUAAAUACACCUGGUGGGAAAUCUCGAUUUUUAAAACGUUCGAUUUA